rfam:Canis lupus familiaris chromosome 10, whole genome shotgun sequence.
CGGGGGAGGCCGGAUCCUGGGCUGUGUCCCGGCGCCAUGUGCUCUGGGGCCUGCGCUGUUGGAUUCGUGCUCCCGCCCCGCAGCCCCCU